rnacentral:rRNA from 1 species
GGAGGGUGCGAGCGUUAAUCGGAAUUACUGGGCGUAAAGAGCACGUAGGUGGUUGUUUAAGUUGGCUGUGAAAUACCUGGGCUUAACCUGGGCAGGCCAGCCGAAACUGGGCAACUAGAGUACAGUAGAGGGAAGUGGAAUUUCCGGUGUAGCGGUGAAAUGCGUAGAUAUCGGAAGGAACAUCAGUGGCGAAGGCGACUUUCUGGACUGAUACUGACACUGAGGUGCGAAAGCGUGGGUAGCGAACAGGGAUUAGAUACCCUGGUAGUCCACGCCGUAAACGAUGAGAACUAGCUGUUGGGAGAGCGAUCUUUUAGUGGCGCAGCUAACGCGUUAAGUUCUCCGCCUGGGGAUACGACCGCAAGGUUA